GACGAGGUGGCCGAGAGGUUAAGGCGAUGGACUGCUAAUCCAUUGGGUUCUGCCCGCGUGGGUUCGAAUCCCAUCCUCGUCG
rfam:Ixodes scapularis strain Wikel colony gcontig_1108379758268, whole genome shotgun sequence.